GUGGGUCUCUCAGGAACGCAUAUUUUCUUUUCGGAUUCUCCGAGAAGGGGUGGAGAAACAGGAUGGGAACCGGAUUGGUUGCAGUGUGGCACAGACCUGGAACCUUCCUGAAAGAGGUUGGGGCAGGCAGUGACUGUUCAGACGUCCAAUCUCUUUGGGACACCUCUUCAGCGCUGUCUUCCCUGCCUCUGCCUUUAGGACGAGUCUCAAACACCAACAAACUCAAGGCACGUCCCCUCUCUCAGGUCAGCUGCGAAGGGACGGGAGCAAGAGAGAGCCUCUCCCUCCUUCUACUUCGAGUUUUUGUUUGUUUGUUUCAAAAUAUUAAUGGACGAUAAAACAACACGGAUUUGUCACCUCCUAGCGAAGAGGAAGCUACCGCCACCAACUCCCUCAAGCAUGCCCGGGCACUUCUGGGGACAAUCGGACGUGGCAGGAGUUGGCAUGCCCAAGAUGGAGCUGGGAAGGAUGACCCAGAGUGGAAGGCGUGGGCCGGUGCUCCAGGUCUCAGCUUUCGCCGUCGUCGAACCACACAACUUUGCCAGCUUUGCACUUUGCCUUUCCCUAUUGUGAGGCAUCUGGGACCGUCCUAUCAAGGCGCUUCAAAAGUGUAAGGACAGAGUGCUGGGGACAAGAACGUACCAGGGGCCCAGAAGAAUUCACUAGCGCGGCCAAACACUAAGACCAGGUUUCCUCCCUGCGUAGUGGUCGUUGGUUGUGCACGGGCUGCGCACGAAGACUGAAUUUCUGAGAAAUGGAAACU